CAGAUGUUUAUAAGAGACAUGUAAAUAGGGAGAUUGGUAUUAAGGUAGAAGGAAGGUAGCUAGCUCGAAUUACUAAUCAAAGGGGACAAAUUUGAAUUAAUAGAAUAAGGACUG